CACAAACAAAGUCCAACCCUCUUGUUAUCACAAUAUGUUAAUGAGAUUGUGGUAGCCUUCUAAUAGGUGGGGGGAUCAUACAGGGAGCCCACAUACAAGCAUGGGGAUGCUGCCUGCGCAAAUGAGAUAUCAUCUUAUACUGUAAGUUUAAUGAAGAGACACUACAGUAUAGAUGAUGUACUAUCCAGGGGUCAUUCCUUCCUCGCACUUGGAUGCGUGCUGGACAGACACUUCAGGGAGACAGAGAGGGGGGCCGUCAAACCGUUACCAUUACUGAGUUUUAGUAAUGGUAAGGGUUCUAUGGCCCUCGCUCAUUAUCAGCGGGACCAGAAGGAAAAGAGAGCUGUGAUGAUUCUUUGUCUUUUUAAACAGGUCAAAUAAAGUGUUGGAAGAAAAACUGC